CAGGCUCGCUCGGGGGCGAGGGCUCCGCAGUGCGCAGCUCCCUACGGGGAGCGACUGGAGGGGCACGGGCAGCCCCCGCGCUCCCCAAUAAAGGAUGCACCCACCGAGCCCGAGGACUGAAACAUUGUUUAGGGGACCCCAGGCACUGAAGGGCGGGUUCCUGGAGAUGGACAUUUGGAGUGCGGUGCCAGGGGCUUGGGAGGAUUCCCGCGUAUACGUGGUGUGAAAGUCAGUCUUUGAAUGUAGAGCAGAUCAAUGUGGAAUGAGGACUGAAAGGUCUGUCAACUGAAAAAAAAAACAAGAAUGAAUA
rnacentral:lncRNA from 1 species